rnacentral:tRNA from 1 species
AAAGAUUUUAAAAUUAAAAGAAGCUCCUAACUAUCUUUUUAAGCAUUAAAUGUUUAAUCUUU